AGAGGACAUCAUCCCAUGUGAUUGAAGCACAUCAAACAUUGAUGAUUGUGACGACUGCUUUCCAGCCAUCCCGUCAACAUGGACCAUGAAGAUGUGACAUCACAGUACAGAGAGAGAGAUACAUCAUGGCUUGAGGCAGCUACAUACCAGGGUCCCAAAUGGAAUUUGAAGAACUAACACAGUCGAACAACUUUGAGUUGGACACAUCAAUAUGCUGAGCCACCUUAUGCAGUACCAUUAAAAAUCAGCAUAGCAUACAACAUCAUUAUCACCACCUCAUCUAAGGCGUCAUGACAACAGAUGGACACAUUGUCAACAGAAUGAACCCAAAGAACACGAAUGAGACGAAGAGACAGACCAGGUUGGCGAUAGAUGGAUGACAUCAGAGAAUUUACAAGCGUCACUCGGAUGCAACAAGCACAAGAAAGAUCA